rnacentral:rRNA from 1 species
UGGCGGAAUGGUUUACACAUGCAAGUCGAACGGCAGCACGGGGCAACCUGGUGGCGAGUGGCGAACGGGUGAGUAAUACAUCGGAACGUGCCCAAUCGUGGGGGAUAACGUAGCGAAAGUUACGCUAAUACCGCAUACGAUCUACGGAUGAAAGCGGGGGAUCGCAAGACCUCGCGCGAAUGGAGCGGUCGAUGUCAGAUUAGGUAGUUGGUGGGGUAAAGGCUCACCAAGCCGACGAUCUGUAGCUGGUCUGAGAGGACGACCAGCCACACUGGGACUGAGACACGGCCCAGACUCCUACGGGAGGCAGCAGUGGGGAAUUUUGGACAAUGGGCGCAAGCCUGAUCCAGCCAUUCCGCGUGCAGGAUGAAGGCCUUCGGGUUGUAAACUGC